UGCAACUCGACUAUAUGAAGCUGGAAUCGCUAGUAAUCGUAGAUCAGCAUGCUACGGUGAAUACGUUCCCGGGUCUUGUACACACCGCCCGUCACACCACGAGAGUUUGUAACACCCGAAGCCGGUGGAGUAACCAUUUGGAGCUAGCCGUCGAAGGUGGGACAAAUGAUUGGGGUGAAGUCGUAACAAGGUAGCCGUAUCGGAAGGUGCGGCUGGAUCACCUCCUU
rnacentral:rRNA from 13 species